rfam:Triticum aestivum genome assembly, contig: Triticum_aestivum_CS42_TGACv1_scaffold_353900_4DL
CAAAUACUCCCUCCUUCCGGAAAUACUUGUCAUCAAAAUGGAUAAAACGAAAUGUAUCUAGACGUAUUUUAGUUUUAGAUACAUCUCUUUUUAUCCAUUUUGAUGACAAGUAUUUUCGGACGGAGGGAGUAGAAA